UGGGGAAUAUUGCACAAUGGGCGCAAGCCUGAUGCAGCAACGCCGCGUGAACGAUGAAGGUCUUCGGAUCGUAAAGUUCUGUUGCAGGGGAAGAUAAUGACGGUACCCUGUGAGGAAGCCCCGGCUAACUACGUGCCAGCAGCCGCGGUAAUACGUAGGGGGCUAGCGUUAUCCGGAUUUACUGGGCGUAAAGGGUGCGUAGGUGGUCUUUCAAGUCGGUGGUUAAAGGCUACGGCUCAACCGUAGUUAGCCUCCGAAACUGGAAGACUUGAGUGCAGGAGAGGAAAGUGGAAUUCCCAGUGUAGCGGUGAAAUGCGUAGAUAUUGGGAGGAACACCGGUGGCGAAGGCGACUUUCUGGACUUUUUCUGACGCUGAGGUACGAAAGCGUGGGGAGCAAACAGG
rnacentral:rRNA from 1 species